GACGAACGCUGGCGGCGUGCUUAACACAUGCCAGUCGAACGCUGAAGACCUGGCUUUUGUUGGGUUGGAUGAGUGGCGAACGGGUGAGUAACACGUGAGUAACCUGCCCUCUUCUUUGGGAUAACGCCCGGAAACGGGUGCUAAUACUGGAUAUUCACUGAUCUUCGCAUGGGGGUUGGUGGAAAGGUUUGUUCUGGUGGGGGAUGGGCUCGCGGCCUAUCAGCUUGUUGGUGGGGUGAUGGCCUACCAAGGCUUUGACGGGUAGCCGGCCUGAGAGGGUGACCGGUCACAUUGGGACUGAGAUACGGCCCAGAGUCCUACGGGAGGCAGCAGUGGGGAAUAUUGCACAAUGGGAGAAAGCCUGAUGCAGCGGCGCCGCGUGAGGGAUGGAGGCCUGCGGGUUGUAAACCUCUUUCGCUCAUGGUCAAGCCGCAACUGUGGGUUGUGGUGAGGGUAGUGGGUAAAGAAGCGCCGGCUAACUACGUG
rnacentral:rRNA from 1 species